AGGUACUCCCGAGUCUCGCCACGGAUGGCGGUGACGAGACGCACAGCGUCUCGUCCGCACACCAGAACGGCUCGCGUUCUGGGGGCGGAGAUAGGGAUAACGGCUGGUUGGCACAGCCAGCGGUUCACUUGUUCGACCGUAGUGAGGGCGUUUUUGUCCCACGAGAACAGGUCGUGAACCGCGAACCGUAAUAUCCCAACUCAGCGGCGCGUUGCCGUGGGAUUCCCGCGUCUUCAGGCGCGGGA
rnacentral:ncRNA from 1 species